AUCGAUGAAGAACGCAGCGAAAUGCGAUAAGUAAUGUGAAUUGCAGAAUUCAGCGAAUCAUCGAAUCUUUGAACGCACAUUGCGCCCAUUAGUAUUCUAGUGGGCAUGCCUGUUCGAGCGUCAUUUCAACCCUCGGGCCCAUACGGGACCGGCGUUGGGGCCUUUCUUGCCGCACGGCAAGCCCCGAAAGCAAGUGGCGGGCCCGCUGAGACCCCGAGCGUAGUAGUUUACACCAUCGCUCCGGGGCGCUUGGCGGGCGACACCAGCCGUUAAAGCACUUCAAGUCUUACAAGGUUGACCUCGGAUCAGGUAGGAAUACCCGCUGAACUUAAGCAUAUCAAUAAGCGGAGGAAAAGAAACCAACAGGGAUUGCCCUAGUAACGGCGAGUGAAGCGGCAACAGCUCAAAUUUGAAAUCUGGCCCCAGGCCCGAAUUGUAAUUUGUAGAGGAUGCUUCUGGUGACGUGCCUUCUGAGUUCCCUGGAACGGGACGCCAGAGAGGGUGAGAGCCCCGUAUAGUCGGCCACUGAACCUCUGUGAAGCCCCUUCGACGAGUCGAGUAGUUUGGGAAUGCUGCUCAAAAUGGGAGGUAAACUUCUUCUAAAGCUAAAUACCGGC
rnacentral:rRNA from 1 species